rnacentral:lncRNA from 1 species
CUCGGAGUGGCUCUGAUCCUGUGCUGAAUGGAAGAAAUUGUGGUUAAUAACAGAACCCCAUGGGUUCCAUGUGCCAUGGCAUGAACCUGAGGCUCCGAACAUCCAGAAACACUUUGAGAAGCUGGAAGGUAAAGGGCAGAAAACCAGCACACUUCAGUGCAGGCAUGUCUGCCAACGUGGGUACAGACUGAAGAGCUUCAUUCACCUCCAGAAAGGAACUCUGGUUGAAGCACAUGCAGGAGAAUGAAUGUCAGAAAUGUUGAAACUCUGCCCAGCUGGCAUGAUGUAAUCCCAGCAAGUGCUCUGAUCUGCAGGCUACAAUAAAUAUAUCCUGGGAUGGGCCAUUUACAGUUUCCUGGAAUUGGGAAACCUGUCCAGGGAAGUUCCCCGCGGGCGCUCGUCUGCCUGGCUGUGACUCGUGUGCGGCUGCCCCCGGGGCUGAGCCGCUCCGCUGAUGUCGCCUCGCUCUCUAGGGAAGGACUUUGGGCUGUCACCUCCCUCCUGCUCCAGCGAAAGCCGAGGCAGAGCGCUCGCACGGAUCGUGCCCCGCAGGGAUUGCCUUCCUCGGGUGGCACGGGGGAUGCGCUGAGCCCUGGGCUCGGCUCAGGGAUGGCAUCGCCGCCCAAUGGGGCGCUCCAAAGGAACGAGGGAGCUCUGAGCAGGAAGGAAAGCCCUCAUUAG